rnacentral:rRNA from 1 species
UACGUAGGGGGCAAGCGUUAUCCGGAAUUAUUGGGCGUAAAGAGCGCGCAGGUGGUUGAUUAAGUCUGAUGUGAAAGCCCACGGCUUAACCGUGGAGGGUCAUUGGAAACUGGUCGACUUGAGUGCAGAAGAGGGAAGUGGAAUUCCAUGUGUAGCGGUGAAAUGCGUAGAUAUUAGGAGGAACACCAGUAGCGAAGGCGGCUCUCUGGACUGUAACUGACGCUGAGGCACGAAAGCGUGGGGAGCAAACAGGAUUAGAUACCCU